GAUGAACGCUGGCGGCGUGCCUAAUACAUGCAAGUCGAGCGAACAGAUAAGGAGCUUGCUCCUUUGACGUUAGCGGCGGACGGGUGAGUAACACGUGGGUAACCUACCUAUAAGACUGGAAUAACUCCGGGAAACCGGGGCUAAUGCCGGAUAACAUUUAGAACCGCAUGGUUCUAAAGUGAAAGAUGGUUUUGCUAUCACUUAUAGAUGGACCCGCGCCGUAUUAGAUAGUUGGUAAGGUAACGGCUUACCAAGGCAACGAUACGUAGCCGACCUGAGAGGGUGAUCGGCCACACUGGAACUGAGACACGGUCCAGACUCCUACGGGAGGCAGCAGUAGGGAAUCUUACGCAAUGGGCGAAAGCCUGACGGAGCAACGCCGCGUGAGUGAUGAAGGUCUUCGGAUCGUAAAACUCUGUUAUUAGGGAAGAACAAAUGUGUAAGCAACUGUGCACGUCUUGACGGUACCUAAUCAGAAAGCCACGGCUAACUACGUG
rnacentral:rRNA from 1 species